AGAGUUUGAUCCUGGCUCAGAGCGAACGCUGGCGGCAGGCCUAACACAUGCAAGUCGAACGGAUCCUUCGGGAUUAGUGGCGGACGGGUGAGUAACACGUGGGAACGUGCCCUUUGGUUCGGAACAACUCAGGGAAACUUGAGCUAAUACCGGAUGUGCCCUUCGGGGGAAAGAUUUAUCGCCAUUGGAGCGGCCCGCGUCUGAUUAGCUAGUUGGUGGGGUAAAGGCCCACCAAGGCGACGAUCAGUAGCUGGUCUGAGAGGAUGAUCAGCCACAUUGGGACUGAGACACGGCCCAAACUCCUACGGGAGGCAGCAGUGGGGAAUCUUGCGCAAUGGGCGAAAGCCUGACGCAGCCAUGCCGCGUGAAUGAUGAAGGUCUUAGGAUUGUAAAAUUCUUUCACCGGGGACGAUAAUGACGGUACCCGGAGAAGAAGCCCCGGCUAACUUCGUGCCAGCAGCUGCGGUAAUACGAAGGGGGCUAGCGUUGCUCGGAAUUACUGGGCGUAAAGGGAGCGUAGGCGGACUGUUAAGUUAGAGGUGAAAGCCCAGGGCUCAACCUCGGAAUUGCCUUUGAUACUGGCAGUCUUGAGUACGGAAGAGGUAUGUGGAACUCCGAGUGUAGAGGUGAAAUUCGUAGAUAUUCGGAAGAACACCAGUGGCGAAGGCGACAUACUGGUCCGUUACUGACGCUGAGGCUCGAAAGCGUGGGGGAGCAAACAGGAUUAGAUACCCUGGUAGUCCACGCCGUAAACGAUGAGUGCUAGUUGUCGGCAUGCAU
rnacentral:rRNA from 1 species